rnacentral:rRNA from 1 species
CAAAAACAUCGCCUCCUGCAAAAAUCAAUGUAUAGGAGGUCCUACCUGCCCAGUGACUAAAUUAAACGGCCGCGGUAUUUUGACCGUGCAAAGGUAGCGCAAUCACUUGUUUUUUAAAUAAAGACCUGUAUGAAUGGUGAAACGAGGGCUUAACUGUCUCCUUUUUCUGAUCAGUGAAAUUGAUCUAUCCGUGCAGAAGCGGAUAUAAAAAUACAAGACGAGAAGACCCUAUGGAGCUUAAGACAAAAAAUCAACUAUGUUAAAAACCCCAAUAAAGGAAAAAAACAAAACAGCAACUGAUUAGCGUCUUCGGUUGGGGCGACUACGGGGGAAAACCAAUCCCCCACGUGGAAUAGAACACAAUUCUAAAACCAUGAGGUACACCUCUAAGUCACAGAACUUCUGACCAAAUGAUCCGGCAACUAGCCGAUCAACGAACCAAGUUACCCUAGGGAUAACAGCGCAAUCCCCUCCAAGAGUCCAUAUCGACAAGGGGGUUUACGACCUCGAUGUUGGAUCAGGACAUCCUAAUGGUGCAGCCGCUAUUAAGGGUUCGUUUGUUCAACGAUUAAAGUCCUACGUGAUCUGAG